rnacentral:tRNA from 2 species
GGAGAGGUGGCCGAGUGGUUGAAGGCGACGGUCUCGAAAACCGUUAUUCCGGGUAAUAACCGGAAUCGCGGGUUCGAAUCCCGCCCUCUCCGCCA